GAGGGUAUAGCUCAAGCGGUAGAGCUUAUGCUUAGCAUGCAUGAGGUCCUGGGUUCAAUCCCCAGUACCUCCU
rfam:Camelus ferus unplaced genomic scaffold scaffold318, whole genome shotgun sequence.